rnacentral:rRNA from 1 species
GCAGUCGCCACGGGAAUACGAAGGGUGCAAGCGUUAAUCGGAAUUACUGGGCGUAAAGCGUGCGUAGGCGGUGAGUUAAGUCUGCUGUGAAAUCCCCGGGCUCAACCUGGGAAUGGCAGUGGAUACUGGCUCGCUAGAGUGUGUCAGAGGAUGGUGGAAUUCCCGGUGUAGCGGUGAAAUGCGUAGAGAUCGGGAGGAACAUCAGUGGCGAAGGCGGCCAUCUGGGACAACACUGACGCUGAGGCACGAAAGCGUGGGGAGCAAACAGGAUUAGAUACCCCCGUAGUCCCUGUCUCUUAUAC